UGGGCAGGUGGCUGACACUACCCCUGGGCAGGUAGAUUAUACUACCCCUGGGCAGGUGCAUGGUACUAGCCCUUGGGCAGGUGGAUGGUACUACCCCUGGGCAGGUGGAUGGUACUAGCCCUGGGCAGGUGGAUGGUACUAGCCCUGGGCAGGUGGAUGGUACUAGCCCUUGGGCAGGUGGAUGGUAGUACCCCUGGGCAGGUGGAUGGUACUAGCCCUGGCCAGGUGGAU
rnacentral:lncRNA from 1 species